GAGAAUAGCAUUUUACUGUCCAUGAGAUUAAAAAAAUCUCACAUUUGAUACAGCAUUUUUCAAACCCAAGUUACAUUAAUAUUUCUCAAAAUAUUAUUUCUUUACCAAAAUGAAAAUUAGUUUAACAUAUUUGCUUUACCCUAUUGUAGAACUUCCUUGAAACCUAUGUUAUUUAUUGCUAACAUUUUCAAGGAUAAUGGUUCUUGACAGACCUUUUAGAAUAGUUUAUUUACCCUCAAAUGUUGUCUUGAAAUUUACUUUACUCAUGGUAUUGUGAAUAAAGUUAUCCCUAAGGGUAUCUUUUCUGCUUUGAUAAACAAAAUACUCCGUUUGUGAGAUUAAAUUCAUGCAUAUCAAUUGCUUUUCUUUUAUCUAUCUGCCUCAUUCCCGCCAGAGAAUUAAGUAAGGCAAUCUAGAAAAAGAGGCAAAUAGGCUAUAAGAUCACGGAGGGUAAAAAAAGGUGGUAAAUAGACGGUAUUUUAUAGACUCUCUAAUUUGGGAAUUGUACUCUAUUCUUGAUAUUCAUCCAAUUGGCUAAGAUUUGCCUUUUAUGAGUCUAAUCCCUGACAUCUCGACCGUGGGGAAGCACAUAAUUGUAGGAUCUUCCUAUUUCAGUAGGGGAAGGAAACUACUCAGCCAGAUGAACGUCAAUUGGGCCGGAAUUGCUGCUGAAUAGAGGCUCACCUUAAGUGGGAAGGAAAAUGUGCUGGUUGCUAAGCUACUGAUAGGCUUUGCCCUUCCUCUGUUUAAUGGGCAGUCACUGGGUCAAGGCACAAAUGAUGACGUUAAAGCUGGCGUUUCUUUGCUAAUUGAAUGGUUACAUAGGAAAUGUCUAAGGGUUUCCUCUAAAUUAGUUGUUCCUCCUUGCUAUUCUCUGACCUUCACUCCCAGGAUGAAGGGUGACUGGAGGCUAGGAGAUGGAAUGAAUGGAAGAUUUACUAAAUAGUAAAAUUAGCUAACAUUAAGAUGCUAUAGCUGUAUAAAAAAUGAAUUUGUCAGCAUUUAAAAUAGUUUAUAAUAAAAAACAGGAGGACAUGUUUCAAACAUAUUGGUUUAUAUUGUUCAUCCUUUCCACGUCAUUAUUCCUAAUGGCAAAAGGUUGUGAGCUCUUAUCCUUGGGUCUUUGCUCAAAUUUGAAAUGCCAUAUCCUUUUAAGAUUAGGAUAACAAGGUGAACCUCAGAAAUUAAUAGGCACAACCCCAAGGCACAAGAUAUGCAGCCUCCUCAUUGCUUGUCUCUUGCCCACUCACACACAUAGAGUAGCAUGUUAUGGCACUUACACUAAUAAAGCCACUGCUAUCAAAGUUCUGGACUUGAUUUCCAGCAGUAUUAGCUCUGUUUUACCCUCAAGCUUCUGGGUUAGUGGGUUAUUGCUCACCAAAGAAGUUCUGGUUGGAAGAAGAGGUAAGAUAUCUCCAGAGCCGCUGAGAAGAAUGAGUAAGAUUUCUUGGGGAGGAUUAAAGGUCUCCUUCUGGAGUUGGGCCACAGGAUGAUAUUCAACUGAGGGGCUCUGAGAGUGCACCUGACCUCACCUUUGGAAGGGUGGUUUGUAUUCAAGCCCAAAUCAACUCAACUCACAGUAUUGACCCACGCUGGUUCCGUUUUUGACUCUAAAGUCUUCCUUCAGUUUACAAUCUAUUCACCAAAAUUCUCUAUCUGAAGCAGGGUAAACAUGAAUAUCUUAGUCCAUCUGUAUUAACCAUAUGUAGCUAUAAUAAAUCACCAAAAACAGAGUGAUUUAUAAAUAGUAGAAAUUUAUUAUUCACAGUUCUAGAGGCUGAGAAGUCCAAGAUCAAGAUGCUGGCAGGUUUGGUGUCUGGUGAGGCUCCGACUCUGCAUGAACCAAAAUAUUUUGAAGAAAAUUAAGACACAGAAACAUAACACUGACAAAUCAUAGGCACUCAAUGGGUAUUUGCUGAAUGAAGGAAUGGAUGGAAUAAUAUAAAUUGGUAGAAGAUAUAAAAUAUCCCUCAUAUUUCCUAAGUUAUGUAAUUGAAGAUAAAUAGAACCUGGCUUCAUUCACGGGAUUUGGUAGAAAGUACUCAGUUGUAUAAAGUACCAUACAUAUUAGGUGCAGUUUCCUGUAGUAAGUAAUUACAAAGCACAAAAUAGUGAGUGGGAGAAAAUAGGAUAAACAAAGAUGGCUCUGUGAUAAGAAAUUUAAAUUUAAAUAUGUUGAAUUUAGCUUGAAUCAACCACCCAUUUACUAAGGCUGGAAAGCUGUGAAGCAAGAUAUUUAGUCACUAAAAUAAAGAUACAAAAUUU
rnacentral:lncRNA from 1 species